rnacentral:rRNA from 1 species
AUUGAACGCUGGCGGCAGGCCUAACACAUGCAAGUCGAACGAGUGGCGGACGGGUGAGUAAUGUCUGGGAAACUGCCUGAUGGAGGGGGAUAACUACUGGAAACGGUAGCUAAUACCGCAUACCAUCGGAUGUGCCCAGAUGGGAUUAGCUAGUUGGUGGGGUAACGGCUCACCUAGGCGACGAUCCCUAGCUGGUCUGAGAGGAUGACCAGCCACACUGGAACUGAGACACGGUCCAGACUCCUACGAGAGGCAGCAGUGGGGAAUAUGGCACAAUGGGCGCAAGCCUGAUGCAGCCAGGCCGCGUGUAUGAAGAAGGCCGUCGGGUUGUAAAGUACUUGCAGCGGGGAGGCGUUACCCGCAGAAGAAGCACCGUCUAACUCCGGGCCAGCAGCCGCGGUAAUAG